rnacentral:rRNA from 1 species
UACGUGGUGGCAAGCGUUGUCCGGAUUUAUUGGGCGUAAAGCGAGCGCAGGUGGUUUCUUAAGUCUGAUGUGAAAGCCCACGGCUCAACCGUGGAAGGUCAUUGGAAACUGGGGAACUUGAAUGCAGAAGAGGAGAGUGGAAUUCCAUGUGUAGCGGUGAAAUGCGUAGAUAUAUGGAGGAACACCAGUGGCGAAGGCGACUCUCUGGUCUGUUAUUGACACUGAGGCUCGAAAGCGUGGGGAGCAAACAGGAUUAGAUA